rnacentral:rRNA from 1 species
UACGGAGGGUGCUAGCGUUGUUCGGAAUUACUGGGCGUAAAGCGCACGUAGGCGGCUUUGUAAGUUAGAGGUGAAAGCCCAGGGCUCAACCCUGGAACUGCCUUUGAUACUGUCGAUCUGGAGUAUGGAAGAGGUGAGUGGAAUUCCGAGUGUAGAGGUGAAAUUCGUAGAUAUUCGGAGGAACACCAGUGGCGAAGGCGGCUCACUGGUCCAUUACUGACGCUGAGGUGCGAAAGCGUGGGGAGCAAACAGG